AAGUCGUAACAAGGUUUCCGUAGGUGAACCUGCGGAAGGAUCAUUACCGAGUUCAUGCCCUUCGGGGUAGAUCUCCCACCCUUUGUAUAUCAUACCUCUGUUGCUUUGGCGGGCCGCCUAGCUACUGGCUUCGGCUGGUAAGUGCCCGCCAGAGGACCCAAAACCCUGAAUAUUAGCGUCGUCUGAGUAAAAACGUUUAAUAUUUAAAAA
rnacentral:misc_RNA from 1 species